GACGAACGCUGGCGGCAUGCCUAAUACAUGCAAGUCGAACGCUUCUUUCCUCCCGAGUGCUUGCACUCAAUUGGAAAGAGGAGUGGCGGACGGGUGAGUAACACGUGGGUAACCUACCCAUCAGAGGGGGAUAACACUUGAAACAGGUGCUAAUACCGCAUAACAGUUUAUGCCGCAUGGCAUAAGAGUGAAAGGCGCUUUCGGGUGUCGCUGAUGGAUGGACCCGCGGUGCAUUAGCUAGUUGGUGAGGUAACGGCUCACCAAGGCCACGAUGCAUAGCCGACCUGAGGGGGUGAUCGGCCACACUGGGACUGAGACACGGCCCAGACUCCUACGGGAGGCAGCAGUAGGGAAUCUUCGGCAAUGGACGGAAGUCUGACCGAGCAACGCCGCGUGAGUGAAGAAGGUUUUCGGAUCGUAAAACUCUGUUGUUAGAGAAGAACAAGGACGUUAGUAACUGAACGUCCCCUGACGGUAUCUAACCAGAAAGCCACGGCUAACUCCGUGCCAGCAGCCGCCGUAA
rnacentral:rRNA from 1 species